AGACUCACAAAUUUUAUUCUCCUCUUGUCAAGGUUCAUUCAUGGCAGCAUCCAGCUUUCCAAAAAAUUGCUUUCAUGUUCUUUCUUUUCAUCUAAGCUGUCCCAUCAUCACAGAGGCUCUGUGAUCACUUCUUGCACACCAAAAUGUUCUCUUACAUCCAAUAAUUGCAAUUUGCAGUCUAAUUUAAAGGAAAGUUGGCAAAAAAAAAUCCACUUCAGAGCUGUCAGCAUGAGAGUUCAAAUGACCUUACUAAUACUGAACCUCAGAGUUCCUCCAUAUUGUUUAAAUGCAGUAUUUUCUUCCAGCAAAAUCUUUUCAGAAGUCUGUGUGCUUGAAGAGUUGUUUCAAGAGGAGACUGGCUUCCUGCUUUGGGAAUGGUUACAAGCCAUCCAGAGAAACACAGGCACUUGUAGGGUGCAGGUUAUCUACCUCACUCUAGGCUCUCACUGUGGGGUGGCAGAAAACACUCCUCCAUGACUUAUCAAGCUGGAAGAAUAAACUGAGCCAUUUAAACACAGACAUGUGUAGCUUGGGGAAGGACCUUCUGUCCCUUCAUCAGAGCCCCCUCUCCAUGCAGUUUUCCAGAACUUGGUCAGACAAAACCCAGACUUGGGCUUGGCUACAUUAAGACCAAGAUAUUUGUCAAGUUUCAUUUUUGUAGCCUUGAGAUGCCCUUCCCUUGUGCUGGUGUGUGAGCUGUACUCCUGGAGGGCAAAGAGGAAAGAAACCAGGGGGUGAGAGCUGGACACACAGAGGACAGACAGAGAUACAAAGCCUGUUUUAUCCAGCACAUCCCCCAAGACCAUCCAGUUCUCACAUGGAUAGGCUGAGUCCUUAUUGGAGCAGCUGCCCUGCUUUUUUCCCUCAAGUCCCUUCCUCCCUGGAAGCAGCAGUCUUAGCAAACCUUUUGGAACCAUCAAAAUUAUUUAGUUCAGUGAUGACCAAAGGUUUGUGCACCUCAGCUCUGAGCCAGCUCCAGUGCCUCAAGACUCUAAGCCAGUGGUUGCCUUGGCUGAGGGAGCAGAAACUGAAGCAAGAAGAAAAAAAACCUUGUGCCUUUCUACACAUGAACAUAAAAUUUGGUCCAAGGAUUUGCAAUAGGAAAACUUCAGCUCUUCAAGAAGGUGAAUACAGAAUUCUGUAUGACAAGCUGCAAUUUAAAAACCAGCUGUGGCAGCUACAGUUCCAGUCCAAAAAAAUGAAAAGACCAUCACUGACUAAUGUAAAAGAUGCUCCUAGAUGAAGAGGAGGAACCAGAGAGUCUGGAGCCAGGAGGAAAGGAGGGAGAGCCAUCAUGCAGUUGGGAACAGGAGAAAGGACAGCAGGGAAGACAGAGCCAUCAGGGUGGCUCAGAACCAGAUGAAAUCACAAUCUUAAACAUUUUUUUCUCCACUCACAUGUUCCCUUGUGCGGCCUAUGAAAGUGUCAGGAUGAGACCAGAAUGGUGAUGUCUUCAUAUGGCUCCGCUUCAAAGCUGCAUGCAGGUCCUAAACAAGAGCUCACAGCAGCAUCUGUGUUCAUCCCAAGGAAGAGCUGCCAAAAGCCAGGCCUGUGGAGGACACCUGGGAGAGGUGUGCAGCACAGCAGAAGAUAUGUAGGGCAUGGCUGCUGGAUCUCUUCCUCAAUAUCUGGCCAAGAAGCUGCAAAAACUGUUCCAGUCUUCAGAAUUUGAGAUGACAGACUGCAGAAGUGGAAUUCCAGCUAUUUCAGAAUAAAUAAAAUAUGAUCAAAGGAAGACCUUCAAGUGAGUUUUGUUUCCCAGGGCUCACAGCACACUGAAAUGAAACUUCUGAUACUCCUAAGCACAAACUGUCCACUGAAUUUGUCCUAAAAUUUUUUUUCAGCCAUAAAUCCCAAGGUAUGGAUUUUUACAGAGAGGAAUCACAGUUAAAACAUAAACCAAAUAAUGCAUGUUUGUGAUGCUGUCCCAUCCACUGCUCUU